GAUCCUGGCUCAGGAUGAACGCUAGCGGCAGGCUUAACACAUGCAAGUCGAGGGGCAGCAUAAUGGAUAGCAAUAUCUAUGGUGGCGACCGGCGCACGGGUGCGUAACGCGUAUGCAACCUACCUUUAACAGGGGGAUAACACUGAGAAAUUGGUACUAAUACCCCAUAAUAUCAUAGAAGGCAUCUUUUAUGGUUGAAAAUUCCGAUGGUUAGAGAUGAACAUGCGUUCCAUUAG
rnacentral:rRNA from 1 species